AUGUUAUCUUCAUUUUGGUCUGAAUCUAACUACCUUACUGUUCUUGAGCUGCAAGGCUCUGAAGUCACUGAAGUGCCAACAUCAAUAGGGUCUCUGUUCAAUCUACGUUACAUCGGGUUACAACGCACCAUGGUCAGGUCACUUCCCGACUCUAUCGAGAAUCUGUCUAACCUCCACACUCUAGAUAUCAAGCAAACCAGAAUACGGAAGCUACCACGGGGAAUUGUUAAGAUAAAGAAGCUGCGGCACCUUUUAGCCGAUAGAUAUGCUGAUGAGAAGCAGAUGGAGUUCCGGUACUUUAUUGGAGUGCAAGCGCCUAAAGAGCUGUCCAACUUGGAAGAACUGCAAACUCUGGAGACUAUGGAGUCCAGCUUUGACUUGGCUGAGCAACUCAAGAAACUGAUGCAACUAAGAAGUGUGUGGAUUGAUAACAUUAGUGCUGCUCAUUGUGCAAAUCUGUUUUCUACGCUGUCAACUAUGCCGCUUCUUUCGACCUUGCUUCUUUCUGCAAGGGAUGAGAAUGAGGCACUCUGUUUCGAGGCUCUCAAACCAAGUUCUACAUAUCUGCACAGGUUGAUUAUCAGAGGACAAUGGGCCAUGGGGACAUUAAAUUGCCCGAUCUUUCUCAGCCAUGCGAAAUACCUCAAGUAUCUAUCUCUAAGCUGGUGUCACCUUGGAGAAGAUCCACUGGGGAUGCUGGCACCGCACAUGCUGAACCUCACAUAUCUGAGACUCAACAACAUGAGCAGUGCAAAAACUUUGGUUCUUUCUGCAGAUUCCUUUCCCAACCUGAAGACGCUUGUCUUGAAGGACAUGCCUGAUGUCAGUGAGCUAAAAAUCAUUGAUGGCGCUCUUCCCUGCAUUGAAGGUUUGUAUAUUGUGUCAAUGUCGAAGCUCGAUAAGGUCCCUCAAGGCAUUGAAUCCCUUCGCUCCCUUAAGAAGCUCUGGCUGUUGUAUUUGCACAAGGAUUUCAGAACUCAAUGGGACACUGAAGGAAUGGAUCCGAAGAUGCUACAUGUUCCAGAGGUUCGUGUUUAG
rnacentral:rRNA from 1 species